rnacentral:rRNA from 1 species
UACGUAGGGUGCGAGCGUUGUCCGGAAUUAUUGGGCGUAAAGGGCUCGUAGGCGGUCCAUCGCGUCGGGAGUGAAAAGCUGGGGCUUAACCCCAGUCCUGCUUUCGAUACGGGUGGACUAGAGGUAGGCAGGGGAGAAUGGAAUUCCUGGUGUAGCGGUGAAAUGCGCAGAUAUCAGGAGGAACACCGGUGGCGAAGGCGGUUCUCUGGGCCUUACCUGACGCUGAGGAGCGAAGGCAUGGGGAGCAAACAGG